rnacentral:rRNA from 1 species
UACGAAGGGGCUAGCGUUGCUCGGAAUCACUGGGCGUAAAGCGCACGUAGGCGGACUUUUAAGUCGGAGGUGAAAUCCUGGAGCUCAACUCCAGAACUGCCUUCGAUACUGAGAGUCUUCGAGUUCGGGAGAGGUGAGUGGAACUGCGAGUGUAGAGGUGAAAUUCGUAGAUAUUCGCGAAGAACACCGGUGGCGAAGGCGGUCUCGCGUCCGUU